rnacentral:rRNA from 1 species
UACAGAGGUCUCAAGCGUUUGUUCGGAUUCAUUGGGCGUAAAGGGUGUGUAGGUGGCGCCGUAAGUCGGGUGUGAAAUUUCGGAGCUUAACUCCGAAACUGCAUUCGAUACUGCGGUGCUUGAGGACUGGAGAGGAGACUGGAAUUCAUGGUGUAGCAGUGAACUGCGUAGAGAUCAUGAGGAAGACCAGUGGCGAAGGCGGGGUCUCUGGACAGUUCCUGACACUGAGACACGAAGGCCAGGGGAGCAAACGGG